rnacentral:rRNA from 1 species
UACGGGAGGCAGCAGUGGGGAAUAUUGCACAAUGGGCGCAAGCCUGAUGCAGCCAUGCCGCGUGUAUGAAGAAGGCCUUCGGGUUGUAAAGUACUUUCAGCAGUGAGGAAGGUGGGUAUGUUAAUAGCAUACUCAUUUGACGUUAGCUGCAGAAGAAGCACCGGCUAACUCCGUGCCAGCAGCCGCGGUAAUACGGAGGGUGCGAGCGUUAAUCGGAAUUACUGGGCGUAAAGCGCAUGCAGGUGGUUUGUUAAGUCAGAUGUGAAAGCCCCGGGGCUCAACCUCGGAAUUGCAUUUGAAACUGGCAAACUAGAGUACUGUAGAGGGGGGUAGAAUUUCAGGUGUAGCGGUGAAAUGCGUAGAGAUCUGAAGGAAUACCGGUGGCGAAGGCGGCCCCCCUGGACAGAUACUGACACUCAGAUGCGAAAGCGUGGGGAGCAAACAGGAUUAGAUACCCUGGUAG